UACGUAGGGUGCAAGCGUUAAUCGGAAUUACUGGGCGUAAAGCGUGCGCAGGCGGUUUUGUAAGUCUGAUGUGAAAUCCCCGGGCUCAACCUGGGAAUUGCAUUGGAGACUGCAAGGCUAGAAUCUGGCAGAGGGGGUAGAAUUCCACGUGUAGCAGUGAAAUGCGUAGAUAUGUGGAGGAACACCGAUGGCGAAGGCAGCCCCCCUGGGUCAACGAC
rnacentral:rRNA from 1 species